GUUACAGAUUGUUGGAAUAAGCCAUACAUCCAGUGUCUUAAUUAAGUCAAUGUUUUUUACUGUCUAGCAAAGUUGUGAAUUUAAGCUCCCCGGCUCGUCUUUUGAAGCUGUUGUGCAGCCUCCACAGCACUGCAAACACACAGAAAGCAG